CUUAAAACUUAUAUACUUGUAAUCUUUUUAUUAUCAAUAAAGGGCUUUUUUAUUCCAAUCAUGUUUAUGUGUCCAUAAUUUAUCCUAAAAAUUAACAAAGAUGAUUUUUGUAUAUUCUUAAAAUAUUAAGAAUUUAAAAUAUAUAUUAAUUAGUGGUUAAUUUUUAAAUAUUUCCAAUCAAAAGAUCGUCACGGAGGAUAGUGAUCAAUCUAUUUG
rnacentral:lncRNA from 1 species